GUAGUCUCGCACAGAUGCAUAUCAAUAAGCGGAGGAAAAGAAACUAACAAGGAUUCCCUUAGUAACGGCGAGUGAAGCGGGAAGAGCUCAAAUUUGAAAUCUUCAAGGUUUUACCUUGACGAAUUGUAGUUUAAAGAAGUGUUUUCUGUUGAAGUUUUGGUAAAAGUUCUUUGGAAUAGGACAUCAUAGAGGGUGAGAAUCCCGUAUUUGACCAUUAUUUUCAGCUGUGUGAUAACACUUUCAAAGAGUCGGAUUGUUUGGGAAUGCAGUCCAAAAUGGGUGGUAAAUUUCAUCUAAAGCUAAAUAUUGGCGAGAGACCGAUAGCGAACAAGUACCGUGAGGGAAAGAUGAAAAGAAUCUUUGAAAAGAGAGUUAAACAGUACGUGAAAUUGUCAAAAGGGAAGCGUUUGACACCAGUGUUGUUUUCUCGAAAAUCAAUUAAAAAGAGUUAGAUUUUGUUGUGUAUUGACCUUAACAGCUUGCAUUUCAAUUUUCUUGCUUUUUUUAAUGCACUUUUCGUUUAACAAGUCAACAUCAGUUUCUUUUGUUGUAAAAAGGUCAUUGGAAGGUGGCUUUCUUUUCGGAGAAAGUGUUUAUAGCCUUUGACUCCUGCAAUCGGAGAGACUGAGGUCUGCAGCGUAGAUCCUUCGGGGUUAGAUACAUUUGUGCUAAGUUAUAGCUUUUUAUAGACAACUUGUUGACUAUGAUUAGUCUUGUAGCUUACUCGCUUAUGCUAUUUUACCUACGCUUAGGAUGUUGAGCGCAUGUCUCUCUCU
rnacentral:rRNA from 1 species